rnacentral:rRNA from 1 species
GAUUCGUCUCGUUGGUGACCAGCGGAGGGUCAUUACUGAGUUACCGCUCUAUAACCCUUUGUGAACGUACCUAACCGUUGCUUCGGCGGGCAGGGGAAGCCUCUCGCGGGCCUCCCCUCCCGGCGCCGGCCCCCACCACGGGGACGGGGCGCCCGCCGGAGGAAACCAAACUCUAUUUACACGACGUCUCUUCUGAGUGGCACAAGCAAAUAAUUAAAACUUUUAACAACGGAUCUCUUGGUUCUGGCAUCGAUGAAGAACGCAGCGAAAUGCGAUAAGUAAUGUGAAUUGCAGAAUUCAGUGAAUCAUCGAAUCUUUGAACGCACAUUGCGCUCGCCAGCAUUCUGGCGAGCAUGCCUGUUCGAGCGUCAUUUCAACCCUCAAGCACCGCUUGGUUUUGGGGCCCCACGGCCGACGUGGGCCCUUAAAGGUAGUGGCGGACCCUCCCGGAGCCUCCUUUGCGUAGUAACUAACGUCUCGCACUGGGAUCCGGAGGGACUCUUGCCGUUAAACCCCCAAAUUCUUUACAGGUUGACCUCGGAUCAGGUAGGAAUACCCGCUGAACUUAAGCAUAUCAAA